rnacentral:lncRNA from 1 species
UGCAUGAGGUAGCUAAAUGCUUAUCUCAAUUUCAUUUUACUACAUCUAUAUAUUUGUGAGAAUGUAGAAUAGCAAUUGCAAAGGAAAGUUCAUUAUGUAAGGUCUAACGUUUGUUAUUUUUUAUUUUUAAUUUCUUUUCCUAAACUAUUGAAGACAUAGUGAAUUAGUAUUGCAAGAAGCAAGUGUUAAGACUUCCUAAUGUGAUAUAUUUGUCUUUGAAUUCCAAAAAAUACACCUUUCUAAUAUUAAGUCAAUAGUAGAAUUUUUUUUUAAUGAUGAUUAGAAUGGAUGGAUCGAUUUAAUAAUGCUUGGAUCAAUUUAACAAUUCUCUUGUUUUAUAUGUAUUGUACAAAAUAUUUAUAUUUUAUAAUACUUCACAAGCAGAUGUCAAUAUCAUACCACUAUGUAGAUGUUCCAUUUGUAUCAAUUACACUUAAAUUAUUUUAAAAAUAUAAAUUAUUUUGUAUAUAUA